rnacentral:rRNA from 1 species
AUUGAACGCUGGCGGCAGGCUUAACACAUGCAAGUCGAGCAGGGUGAUGGUGCUUGCACUAUCACUUAGCGGCGGACGGGUGAGUAAUGCUUAGGAAUCUGCCUAUUAGUGGGGGACAACAUCUCGAAAGGGAUGCUGAUACCGCAUACGUCCUAAGGGAGAAAGCAGGGGAUCACUUGUGACCUUGCGCUAAUAGAUGAGCCUAAGUCGGAUUAGCUAGUUGGUGGGGUAAAGGCCUACCAAGGCGACGAUCUGUAGCGGGUCUGAGAGGAUGAUCCGCCACACUGGGACUGAGACACGGCCCAGACUCCUACGGGAGGCAGCAGUGGGGAAUAUUGGACAAUGGGGGGAACCCUGAUCCAGCCAUGCCGCGUGUGUGAAGAAGGCCUUAUGGUUGUAAAGCACUUUAAGCGAGGAGGAGGCUCUUUUGGUUAAUACCCAAGAUGAGUGGACGUUACUCGCAGAAUAAGCACCGGCUAACUCUGUGCCAGCAGCCGCCGUAA